rnacentral:sRNA from 1 species
ACGCUCUGCCGCCAGGAGUGGCAGGAGGCAGGCUGAGUGAAAUGAGCUGCUCCUGUUCCCGCCCACGAAGGGGGUUAAGGUGAAGGGAACAAUCCUGUCUCAUCUGGGGGCCUGUCCAGGAUAUGAAAAACAAGUAUCACUGCAUCACCCAGGCUGGAGCACAGUGGUGCAACCUCGGCUCACUGCAAGCUCUGCCUCCUGGGUUCGAGUGAUUCAUGUGCCUCAGCCUUCCAAGUAGCUGGAAUUACAGACUCUACCCAACAACAACAAAAUACACAUUUUCUUCAGGUUGACCAAGAGCAUUAACCAAGAGUAAUCAAAAAGAGGAGCCGACUAGACACAGCCAGGAAGAGUUUCUCCCACCGGGAGACCAGACCAGCAAGAAAACUGGCACCCUCCAAGCAGGUUGUUGAAAGGAAGGCAUUGAAUGUGGGCAGAGGGUGAUGCAGAUGAGGAAAGACUAGAAGGUUCUGUACCUGUUAACUGUGGCUGAUCCUAGAAGAGUGAAAUUUAGGCAGGUAGUUGGAAAGAACACAGCACAGAAAGCUUUAGGAUGAAUUUUCCUAGCAGCCAUUCUGUAUCGUCAAAGCCUUCAAUCCCUGAGGAGAGAGUUAAUGGCACACAGGAGUGGGGUGAUUUGGGCAAUGAGUGCUUCUUCCUUUCAACCUGUUGCUACCUAACACAAGGACAAUUGGUCUUCCACCCUCUUCACAGUUCAUUCAGUCAUUGUUCCUGUCUCCCAGGUGAGUUGAGUGAAAAUAACGGUGACAAGAAGCCCACUGCCUGAUUCACACAAGCAAGGCAUGCUGCAGGGAAGACAGGGUUCUUAUUAAUAUUUUCUUUCAUGUGCUUACAUAUGAGUUAUAGUUGCUAAUCCUUUCCCACAGUUUAGCACCUAGUUAAAAGAAAGGGCUUCGGAAUCAGGUAAGUGUAGAUUAAAGUUAUAACGGCAAAUUGCUGAACCUUUGGAAGCCUCGGUUUUUCCAUCUGGAAAAUGGAUUUUUAUCUUACAGGACUGUCGUGAGGAUUGAUGAGCUAACAUUCCUAAAUCAGGGAGUUUGAAGUCUGGCCCAGGAACUUCUAGAUUUUGACGUUCUCCGUGUCUUUGAUGUGUACCCCUGGGAGAAACAAAGGGCGAGAAGAAACAAGGGAAAGGAGAAACAUUUGUGUUUUCCAGGUUUUCAGUGUUGAUCAGCCAGCGGGAAUAAAGAGAAGAUGUGUAAGGGGGAGGGCAAAAGAGAUUCCCAGAAGCUGCUGCAGAUCUCUUCAGGUUGCAUUUCAAAAGCCAUUACUUAAGUGUAUAUUCACACCUAGCUGCAAGAAAGGCUGGGAUUGUAUUCUGUGUUCUGGGCAGUAAUGUGUCUAGCUGAGCACUGGAGUUUUAUCAAUAAGGAAGAAGGUAUUUUCCUCCUUUCCUGAAAUAAUGUAUAGUUCUGACCAAGUGAGAAGAAUCACAAGAAUAUGGGAUUUUGAAAAACACGAAAACAUCCUAAGAAAUACCAGGAAGGAGGCCCACAGUGAAACACAAAUGAAACUCAAGGCAACUGCCUACAUUUUUGGCUAAAAUAAAAAAUCAUAGAUCUUAGGACAAAGGGGGCAAGGAACUAAAUCAAAGGACAAAGCUGAAGACCAAGUGGACUGAAAAGAAGAUGGAAUACAUUUUCCCAAACACUGGUGUUCUCUGGAGUUGGCUUAUCAACAUCUUGUGUAAUAGUCAUAUAAUUGUCCCUCAUUUCUAUCUCCUCCUAAAACUAGAGAAAUGGCCUAUUAAUUUUAGAAGGUGUAUAAUUAUCACAAAGCCCUCAGAUUAAGGUCCAGGACACAGAGUGGAAUAUAUGAGCACACAGAAAUGUAUACCUUUAGAUUGAACUUGGAUGAUUUGCCUUUUGCCUGUCACCACCAGCAAAUCCUGAAAUUGGAUCUCUUGAAACUUACGGUUUUCCUUCAGCAGCAUAGGAGUUAAGUUUUCUUCUAGCUUGCCCUAGGUUCUCUCAGGAACUGGGAAAGCAGUUCUCCCAAAUCCCAAGUUAAGUUAUUCAAGACAAUAUAAGGCAGAGCUAAAUUCUUCUGUUGAAGAAUUUAACAUGACUCAAACCAUAAGGAAAUCUAAAGAAGGCUGCCAAACUAUUUCACUGCUUCCCUCCCCCACUAAAAGAGAUAAAAAUGUUAGAUUUACAAAGCAAACUACAGUGUAUGGAAUAUAUAUAUAUCUCUAUAUAUAUAGAUAUAUAUACACACACACAAUUUUUUUAACCUACCACUUUGUCUUAUUUGCAUGAGCACAAAUUGCUUUCAACUUAAUGCCAGAGAAAAAGGCAACAUUCCCCGUGAUGACUUGCUGAAAAGCUCACUGUAUUUGUUUGAUAAUGGAUUUUAGUUCAUUGUCAUGUACUUCACUCUUCAUCAGCAGGAGCACUUCAGGGUAAAGAAACAGGCUUUUACCACACUGGAACAAAAGCUAUAUAAGGAAAAAAAAAUCCUGAGCAGAUGGAAUAUUAUUUGCAUUUGCACAAAUAGUGCUUUUUAGCACAAUUCAUAUUACUCCAUUGUGAGCUAAAGUAAGCCAGAUGUGUCUACAGCAUGCUGCAGACGCAGAAUCGGCUUUUUGUUUGUUAGACUCAGAGGUCCUAACCUUAUGAUAUCUUCGUACUUGUAUAUCCAUUAGUUUUAUUUCAGUUACUUAUCAGAAAGGAAAAGAAAAAAAUGGCACUAUGCAGUUAAGAGGAGCAUUGCAUGGAGGGCUAAAUUAACUAUUUUUUAUUUUCAUGAAUGAGGAUCAAAUAGGUUUCAGAUGUCUCAACAUCUAUCUGGAGAUCUAGAUGAUGAUAUAAAAUUAAAAUGCAGAAUGUGAGUGUAAUAAAAUUUGUUUCUCCAUGAUUACAUUAAA